CAGAUGUCUUUGAAUACACCAUCGAACAUGCAUCGAAUGAUAUCAGCAGUGAGUAUUGUGAACAAGAACAGAAAAUGUAUCGAGAGCUCUACCAGCGACACAACAGUCUUCUGGCCACGUUUAUUGGAAAAGAAUUCGAAACGGUAAAACAGUUCCUCUUUCUUUCAA
rnacentral:lncRNA from 1 species